AAGAGGAAGAGUAAGCCAAACAGCAAGUGGAAAGAUAUGGAAGAGGAUGAUCAUCAAGUACUACCAGUAAAGAAGAGAAGCAAAAACCUGUACAACAAAAGAGUCCACAAACCAAAUGGUUGAAGAGUUGAAGAAGCAGCUGGCAAACAAAGCGUCUUCAGAGUUAGCUAACUCAAAAGAGGAGUCAUCAGAUCAGAGGACCAGCUGCCCAGAAACUGGAGUGUGUCACAGCAGAAACUAAAAGAGCUUCAGAGAGAAAUCAAGAGACUGAAAGACGACCAUGUGAAAGAAAUACUAAAUGCCAUCAAAGAGCUUCCAGCAGUAAUUGCACAGCUAAAGGAUGUCAUUGAAAAAAUCUCUACUCCUGCAUCUACUUGGUCAGCACCUACAUCAUCUGUAGACCCACCAGUUUCUGCACCC